rnacentral:rRNA from 1 species
UACGAAGGGGGCUAGCGUUGCUCGGAAUCACUGGGCGUAAAGCGCACGUAGGCGGGUUGCUAAGUCAGGGGUGAAAUCCUGGAGCUCAACUCCAGAACUGCCCUUGAUACUGGCGGCCUUGAGUCCGGGAGAGGUGAGUGGAACUGCGAGUGUAGAGGUGAAAUUCGUAGAUAUUCGCAAGAACACCAGUGGCGAAGGCGGCUCACUGGCCCGGGUACUGACGCUGAGGUGCGAAAGCGUGGGGAGCAAACAGG